AGAGGGGUGCGAGCGUUAAUCGGAAUGACUGGGCGUAAAGGGCGCGUAGGUGGGGUUAUAUAAGAGAGAUGUAAAAGUCCUGGGGCUUAACCUGGGAAGGCCAUCUGAGACUGUAUAACUAGAGAGCAGUAGAGGUAAGAGGAAUUUCCGGUGUAGCGGUGAAAUGCGUAGAGAUCGGAAGGAACACCAGAGGCGAAGGCGACUUACUGGACUGCAUCUGACACUGAGGCGCGAAAGCGUGGGGAGCGAACAGGAUUAGAUACCCUGGUAGUCCACGCCGUAAACGAUGAGAACUAGCCGUUGGUUUCGUAAAGGAAUCAGUGGCGCAGCUAACGCAUUAAGUUCUCCGCCUGGGGAGUACGGCCGCAAGGUUA
rnacentral:rRNA from 1 species